rnacentral:rRNA from 1 species
AUGCAAGUCGAGCGAACAGAUAAGGAGCUUGCUCCUUUGACGUUAGCGGCGGACGGGUGAGUAACACGUGGAUAACCUACCNAUAAGACUGGGAUAACUUCGGGAAACCGGAGCUAAUACCGGAUAAGAUUUUGAACCGCAUGGUUCAAUAGUGAAAGACGGCCNUGCUGUCACUUAUAGAUGGAUCCGCGCCGUAUUAGNUAGUUGGUAAGGUAACGGCUUACCAAGGCAACGAUACGUAGCCGACCUGAGAGGGUGAUCGGCCNCACUGGAACUGAGACACGGUCCAGACUCCCACGGGAGGCAGCAGUAGGGAAUCUUCCGCAAUGGGCGAAAGCCUGACGGAGCAACGCCGCGUGAGUGAUGAAGGUCUUCGGAUCGUAAAACUCUGUUAUUCAGGGAAGAACAAACGUGUAAGUAACUGUGCACGUGUUGUACGUGUACCU